rnacentral:lncRNA from 1 species
UUGAUAUCGUGAUGAGAUGCCUUGCAUGCUUAUGGAGAGAGUUCUUUAUAAGUAUGCGGCGGUUGCCAUGACCCUCGAUUCAUAAUCUCGGGUCGGGUGCGUGACAAUUAAUAUGGUAUCAGAGCAUAAGUGGAUAAAUUAUGACACAUAGAAUUUGACAUAGUAUGAGUGUAGGUGGGUAAACAUUAGAAAUAUUGGGACGUUAGAGUAUGAACAUCAUAAUAAACCCAUCUUAACAAAUA